CUACGGGGCGCAGCAGUGGGGAAUAUUGCACAAUGGACGAAAGUCUGAUGCAGCAACGCCGCGUGGAGGAUGACACAUUUCGGUGCGUAAACUCCUUUUAUAUAAGAAGAUAAUGACGGUAUUAUAUGAAUAAGCACCGGCUAACUCCGUGCCAGCAGCCGCGGUAAUACGGGGGGUGCAAGCGUUACUCGGAAUCACUGGGCGUAAAGCGCAUGUAGGCGGACUUGUAAGUUGGAAGUGAAAUCCUAUGGCUCAACCAUAGAACUGCUUCCAAAACUGCUUGUCUAGAAUAUGGGAGAGGUAGAUGGAAUUUCUGGUGUAGGGGUAAAAUCCGUAGAGAUCAGAAGGAAUACCGAUUGCGAAGGCGAUCUACUGGAACAUUAUUGACGCUCAGAUGCGAAAGCGUGGGGAGCAAACAGGAUUAGAUACCCUAGUAGUC
rnacentral:rRNA from 1 species